rnacentral:rRNA from 1 species
UACAUAGGGGGCAAGCGUUGUCCGGAUUUACUGGGCGUAAAGAGCGUGUAGGCGGCCAUGCAGGUCCGUUGUGAAAACUGGAGGCUUAACCUCCAGACGUCGACGGAAACCGCGUGGCUAGAGUCCGGAAGAGGAGAGUGGAAUUCCUGGUGUAGCGGUGAAAUGCGCAGAUAUCAGGAAGAACACCAAUGGCGAAGGCAGCUCUCUGGGACGGUACUGACGCUGAGACGCGAAAGCGUGGGGAGCGAACAGG